rnacentral:lncRNA from 1 species
GGAGGAGAGCCUCCAGCGCUGUGACAAGUUGCAUGGCCUAGUCCUGGGCACCCCCUCAGGCAGAUGGACAGUCAGGCCUGAAGGACAGGGGCCCUUCCUGAGUUCUGGCUGUAACUCCCAUGUUUGAGCAGCCCUGGCUUCUCCUGCAGGGAUUGGGUUGGCCUGAGCGCCUGCCUGCUCCCCGUCCAGCGCUGACCUGGGCUGCCUCCCACUUCCUUCACUGCCAGGAUGGGAACCUGCCCAGUGGAGAGGCCAUGGUGAGGCAGUUUUUGCAGGGCCAGAACUUCUUUCUGCAGGAGUUUGGGAAGAUGUGCUCUGAGUUCUGGCUGCCGGACACCUUUGGCUACUCAGCACAGCUCCCCCAGAUCAUGCACGGCUGUGGCAUCAGGCGCUUUCUCACCCAGAAAUUGAGCUGGAAUUUGGUGAACUCCUUCCCAGUAAGCAGGCCCCCGGGGGGUCAGGGUCAGAGUGGGCCUCAGUCCCGCCUGGCCCAUUUGCCUCUCCCCCUUAUUGUGGGGUCCUAGACAGACCACCAAACCCUCACUCUGCCUCUGCCAGGGUCACAUAGCAGGCAGGGGCAGGACCAAGUCUGGAAGGCCUGGCUCUGCCUCAGCCCUGACUCUGGCCUCUCUGCCCUGCUUCUGUUUCCCUGCUGGUAGCACCAUACAUUUUUCUGGGAGGGCCUGGAUGGCUCCCGUGUACUGGUCCACUUCCCACCUGGCGACUCCUAUGGGAUGCAGGGCAGCGUGGAGGAGGUGCUGAAGACCGUGGCCAACAACCGGGACAAGGGGCGGGCCAACCACAGUGCCUUCCUCUUUGGCUUUGGGGAUGGGGGUGGUGGCCCCACCC